rnacentral:rRNA from 1 species
AUGAAGAUGGUUGUCCCUACCAUUUCUGGUGCUGCUACUUCUGAGGUUUCCGCCAAGGAUGACGACCAAGAGAUGGAGGAUGCUGUUACCUCCAACCCUGCUCCUUCUCAUGUUAUCAACCUUCCGGAUGACGACGACGAUGAGCCGCUGAGAGUGAGAAGGACCUGGGGAGCGUCGGCUGGCGAGACCCCACAACCCACUCCGGCGCCUGAGGCCGUAGCUCGAGACGGUGUUGAAACCACUCGGGCUUCUGUGACUUUCACUGUUCCUCUGACGAGUGUGCGGCCCUCGACAUCGACUGCGGAUCCGCCUUUGCUUUUUGCCGCGUACCCCGUCCCUGAGGACCAAGCAGCUGCCGCAAAAGAGGCCAUACGCCAGGCGGGGAUCAUGAUGGAACAAGUGAAAGUGGCUCGGGAGUCUAGCCAAGCGGCUUAUGACGCAAGUUCGGCUCUUCAGAGUAACGUCCAGAAAUCCUGCGAACUUGUAGCUCGCUAUACUGAGCUGGAGAAUCAACAGAUCUAG